rnacentral:lncRNA from 1 species
AAAGUUUAUUUCUCCUGUGGAAUAUUUCUACGUGGUUUCCUAGUUGGUGAAUGGCUCUCCUUGCCAUGACUCAGACAUCCAGCUUUCUUCCAUCUGGGAGUUCUGCCAUCCCCUAGGGCCUUGAUGUCACUUAUAUCCAGCCAGCGUAAUGGGAAAGGGAACAUGGAAAAGAAAUAAUGACUUCUUAAAAGCCAUGGCUCAUUGUGACACGUCACUUCCGCUGACAUUCCAUUGGUAAGUACUAGUCAUAUGUCCACACCUAGAUGCAGAGGGUGCUGGGAGACACAGUUCCUGGCCAGACAGCUGCUUCCCAGUGACAAAUCUACUUUAUAUCAAGAGUGAAAUCAUCCAGAAUAGAGUGAAUUCGGGCUUCAGAGCGGCUGUUUAGGAUUCAGAGCUCUACCAACAUGAGCAAUCUGUUGGCAUGACAGGUCAGAGAAGCCGUGAAGGACAUGGAAGGAAGUAGAUGGAACUGGAAACAGGAGGCCAACCCCAGCAGUCAGUGGUGCUCAGAAAAAAAUAAGACACUGAAAUUUGAGGACUUAAUGGAGUUUGGUGCCUUCAGUUAGCUGAUGUCUAUGAAGCCUGACCAGUCUACUUCUAGUCUAUAAGAUCAUGUGGAAGCUUCAGUGACAAACUUCUACUUUACUAAUGAUUUUAUGAUCCUGUUACCCAUUGCAAUUGCUUAAAUGGUAUUUUAAUUAGCUGCUUUAAAUGACUUUGCUUUUUUACAAAAAGCAGUGUGUGCUUUAGUUUAAAAUAUGGGUCACUGGUGUUUCUUUCUAGAAGAUGACUGUGUUUAGUACCAGGGAAAAUUGGUGAUGUAUUUGGAGAGGUUUUAACUUCUGUAACUCAGGUUGAUAUCUGGAAUGUGAGUGUUUCCAU